CGGAGUCGAGUGAGUGGUAGUCUUAAUUAUGCUCCUUUUAGUAGAGUAUUGGGAGGGUGCAUUAUGGCAUUCAUGCAUGGCUUGGCAGUAUCUGCAGGACACCUAUAGUCGAUGGGGUUGAACAUCGGCCUUUGUGCACAUAGUAGCCUUCUGGGUAGGCGGAGCACCAGUCCCUUUCUAGGGGGGACACGGCCCUAGGCGUAGGAUUGGCCAGUCCUACGACUUAUAUUCUGCUUGCCGCCGGGCAUAGUAAGACCCCGCGAGGUGCAGUAUGGCUUUCCGCGGAUGUAGAAUUUCCGCAAGGUGCCGUUUAGUAUAUAGAUGUGAGAUGAAUUUCUGUUCUGGAUACUGGCUUGCAUUUAUGUUAUCAGUAUGGUAUCUUAUUCUGCAUAUGCAUGUGAUAGUGGGGAGUUGUUGCUGGUUCGCCUGGGGCGUAAAAUCCACCUCCCGAUAGCUAUCUAGUAUUUAUAUUAUUGGCAUGGUGUCUUAUCCUGCUUAUGCAUGUGACAGUAGGGAGUUGUUGCUGGUUCGCCUGGGGCGUAAAACCCACCUCCCAAUAGCUGUCUUGUUGAUGAUUCAGUAUAUUGACACCUGAUUUGUAUGUUCCAGCAUUAUGAUCUGUUGAGCAUAUUCAUGAGUAGUAUAUAUGUUUACUCGAUUAUUCCAUAUAUGCUUCAGAUGAGUUGAUUGUGAUUGUGGUGAUAUUGAUGAUUUACUCCAUAUUCUUUAUGUUGAGUUCAUGUUCAUCUUGUUAUUGAUCUUGAGAUUUCACCUCGAGCCAUGAUUAUAUCUUGUCUCAUGUGCAUAGUACUCUCUACUCCACUCACUGAGUAUUUAUAUACUCACUCUCCAGUUUGGUGUUUUUGAUUGCAGGGCAUGUAUUGUAUAUAGAAGAGCAGGAUUAGAGAUUGCCUGCUAGCCGUGCCGCUCCAUAGUAUAGUAUAGUAUAAUGUAGAUAGAGGUUUAUACCCUUUUGGUUAUUAUAAACCUUCUGUUAUAUAUAGUGUAUAGUUACAGUCAUAGAUCCUGUUGUGGAUAUGGGUUUGACCAUGGNNNNNNNNNNNNNNNNNNNNGAUGAUUCAGCAUAUUGACACCUGAUUUGUAUGUUCCAGCAUUAUGAUCUGUUGAGCAUAUUCAUGAGUAGUAUAUAUGUUUACUCGAUUAUUCCAUAUAUGCUUCAGAUGAGUUGAUUGUGAUUGUGGUGAUAUUGAUGAUUUACUCCAUAUUCUUUAUGUUGAGUUCAUGUUUAUCUUGUUAUUGAUCUUGAGAUUUCACCUCGAGCCAUGAUUAUAUCUUGUCUCAUGUGCAUAGUACUCUCUACUCCACUCACUGAGUAUUUAUAUACUCACUCUCCAGUUUGGUGUUUUUGAUUGCAGGGCAUGUAUUGUAUAUAGAAGAGCAG
rnacentral:lncRNA from 1 species